CCCUGGCCCGAACUGGAACGGAAGGGGGGAGAAUCAAAAGAAAUGGAGGAUGAGGAGAGAGGUGGAGGAGGAGGAGGAGCAGCCAUGGGGAGCUACUGGAGGAAGGAGGCGGAUGAGAACCUCAAGAGGAUGCAUUCCCUCCUCUUCGGCGGCGAUCUCGCCCUCGAGCGCGGCGAUCCCGCUGCCGCCCACACCCUCGCCCUACGCCUCCUUGGCUUCCUCCACUCCCGCACCCAUACCCCCGUCGACGCAGCCUUCGUCGCUCCGGUCCUCGCCCAGGCCUCCUCGAUGGUCGCCGCCGCCUCCCGCGCCCUCGCACCCGACUCCGAUCGCCGGGCAUUUGAACAGUCAAGAAGAGAUGUAGGCCAUGUCUUUGUGAAGAGAGGAGAUGUUGACAUCGAGAAGAUUAAGCAGUCAAAGUACUUUCGAUCUUUCCUUCAGAAGUCCAAUAAAAGUGAUGUUGAUCAAUUGAUAAACAAUGCGUCGUCACAUGGCAAUUUGCUAGCUCUUCAAGGCUCUGCUAACCAGGAAGCACACCAAUCUUUAAAGAAUCAACAAGACAGACAACAUGAAAAAUUGAGCAUCAGGGCAUCAAAGCUCAUGACACAAACAAAGAUAACAUCAAUAUAUGGCAGCAAGGACAUGAAACCAAAUAAUAUUUGUAACAAGAAACUACAGAACUCCGAAGGCAGCACCACACAGGAGUGCAUUGAUGUUGAUAAUGAAUGCAGAAGCAACCAUAAUUAUUGGAAGAGCCAAGGUCGACCUUCUUAUAUACAAGUUGAAGAGGCAGAAAGGCCUUAUGGGAUGACUCUGAAAGCAAAACGCCGUCAAACAGAGUUUACAAGUCCAAUAUGUGAAAGUGCAAAAUCUCCAUCAAGCAAUGAGGAAGCCAGCAUGGAUAACUAUGGCAAUGGUUUUGUAACUGCAAGGACAAAAUUGGAAAUGGAUGCUAGGCAAAGGCAUGGUCUUACAGGACCUCCAAACGCUUCUGUAUCCCCACAAAGUGAUAAUAAUCCAUCAGGAAACCUUAGAAACUAUGGCAUGAGGUAUGGUGGUUCUCGUCGUGGUUUGCGAGGUAAUUUUGUCCCCCCAAUCAGAUCCAGUGGAGGAAAUUCAGGUAAUAUGAUAAGCUCUAGGAUUUCGGGGAAAUGCGAUGAUACCCUGGAGGAUUCAGCAAGAAAAUGCCUGGAAAUGUUGUGUGGUCCUGAUGGUGAACUUCCUGAGAAGCUAAGAAAUCUGGAACCUCGUCUUAUUGAACAUGUUAGCAAUGAGAUAAUGGACAAAGAUCCUAAUGUUCGUUGGGAUGACAUAGCUGGCUUGGAGCAUGCCAAGAAAUGUGUCACAGAGAUGGUUAUAUGGCCUCUAUUGCGUCCUGAUAUAUUUCGUGGUUGUCGCUCUCCUGGGAGGGGUCUGCUUCUAUUCGGUCCCCCUGGAACUGGCAAAACAAUGAUUGGGAAAGCCAUUGCUGGAGAGGCCAAAGCAACAUUUUUCUACAUAUCUGCCAGUUCAUUAACAAGCAAGUGGAUUGGUGAGGGUGAAAAGCUAGUGAGGGCACUCUUUGGGGUUGCCAGCUGUCGCGAGCCUGCAGUGAUAUUUGUGGAUGAAAUAGACUCACUUCUCUCUCAGCGGAAGUCAGAUGGUGAACAUGAAUCAAGUAGAAGACUUAAAACACAAUUCCUAAUCGAAAUGGAAGGCUUUGACAGUGGAAAUGAACAAAUUCUUCUUAUAGGAGGGGAAAGAAAGUACGAUGAUUGCUGUUUUAGAGAUAGUGACUUUUUUUGUCAUAAAAAUAGGUGCUACCAACAGACCUCAGGAGCUUGAUGAAGCAGCACGCAGGCGUCUAACAAAGCGAUUAUAUAUACCUCUUCCUUCCUCAGAAGCAAGAGCUUGGAUUGUCCGUAAUCUUUUGGAGAAGGAUGGGCUGUUCAAGCUUUCAGAGGAAGAUACUGUUGCUAUCUGCAAAUUAACGGAAGGUUAUUCAGGUUCAGACAUGAAGAAUCUAGUGAAAGAGGCAUCUAUGGGCCCACUUAGAGAAGCCCUGCUACAAGGUAUUGAGAUUACAAAGCUGAAAAAGGAGGAUAUGCGACCCGUAACUCUUCAGGACUUUGAGAAUGCACUACAGGAGGUGAGGCCUUCUGUUUCCUUGAAUGAAUUGGGUACUUACGAGGAGUGGAACAGGCAAUUUGGGAGCUUAUCAAUCUAAUCAUCUAAUCAAUAUGUGCAACGGGAACUGUAGGUAGCAGCUUUAGGCCCUAGUACCGGACCUUAAUGUUUUUUCUCAUCAUAUCAGUGAUCUCAUAUCUCUUCUAAUACUUUCAGUAUAACAAAACAGAAUAACUUAUUUGUGCAAUUUGAUCUUAGGAAACAGAACUCCAGAAUGAAAAGGCUAAUAUUUACCCAGUAGUGGCCUAGGUCUAAAGCUUAGGUUUUAGGGGCAUGAAGGCUACAAGUCUCGAGCAAGUCUAGAUGGAGUUUAUGGAUACUGGUGUUUGCAAACUACAACAAGCAAAUGUACUUAAAGCUCUUCUGUUCUUCUCUAUACUAGGUUGUAAAAAAUUGUAAGAUAGGCUGCUAUUAGAUAUUAUGGCCCUGCAUUCUGAAUAGAUGGCUCAGCUAACUGGUCAUGAGCACUGGUGUAAAAAGACCUCAGUUGCAGUUUGAGGUCAAGGAUACUUAAUCUUGUGCAAAGAUAACAAUUUGAGCAAAGUGAUUUUUUGGUUUUCUCCUUUUCUGUAACAUUUCCGAGUUGGGAGGACUCACAUUAUGUUCCGGAGUUCCGUGAUUCAGUGGUUCUUCAUAUAAACAAGGGUGUGGAUGCAAAUAAUUUUGCGAGAAACUAUAUACACUAACAAUUUUGACAUUUUUA